GUAAAGAAACUGAGCUCACAAUACUCUUGUUUUCUUGGAGUGUUCUCACAAGUUCUCAGAAUUCUAGCAAACUCCAUUCCUGGACCAUGUUCCAACAGUAUCGAGUACUACAGAUUAAAGGAGCUCAAGUUGAUAUUUAUAAAGUUAAUUUGAGUUGUCUGAGACAUCUCAGUAUUUUAGGAGAAUUUGUCCACCAGAUAUUUUAACUUUGCUGUAAAUGGAGUAUAUUAAGAUUUUAAACAAGGUUUGAGUUUCGGAGCCUGGAGUAACUUUCCUUCCUGGACACUUCACGCCGGUUUGACAACCCUGCACAAAGGUCACCAGCUGGGCAUAGCUCCUAGGCGUUCUGGUCAGGAAGAUCAUUGUUCCUGCUGACUGAGUACCUGAUCCUCCGAAAGAUUCCUGUGGCGUCAAAAUCUCAUUGCUUUUAGUAAUCGGAAGGAGAACCUGCCAACAGACAAAGGAAUAUGUGACUCUAAUUAGCAAAAUCUGCCAAGGAAGAUUCUAAUCUCUUCUGAUGAUUCAUCUGGGUCUCGGCCCUGCUGCUGACAAGAAGAAACACAACUCAAGGAAAUUGAACCUCGUGUUUUGCACAUGCUAACUGAGUAGUCUACCACAGCGUCUUGGCCCAAGACUUGGAUUUUAUUUUAUACUAUUUUAUUUUAAAAUAAGGGCACUAAUCUCUUUCCUAGGAACUCCAUUUUUCAUGCUCUGUUCAUUCUCCAAGCCCUGCCUCUUUUUUCCGUCACCCUGGGGAAUAGAAUGCCAGCGACUAUGUUUUAGAGGAAUAGCCACAGGUACUCGGUUCACAGCAAUGCAGAGGCUGGCGUCCUCUCAUUAACCCUUGAAAGGAGCCAGGUUAGACAGGGGAGCCGUUUACAGUUGGCAUUACCUAGAGCUACUCCCAUAGUGUGGGCAAGCAUACCUCAUGUGACAAAAUUGGAGAUGCUACGUUUUAACGGCAGCGUGAAAAAGAAAAAAAAAAAAGAAAAAAAGCAGUGAAAAGUUACUCAAGGGUUAACAGCCGAAUAUCAAAUUAGACAAUUUGAUGAAAAAGAACCAAAAUAAGCCCGCUGCAGUUUCCACUAAAAUAUUGAACUCUUGCCCCAGACUAAAAAUAAUUUUUAAAAGGAUCUCAACCUCCCCGGGAGUCUUUUGGAUUUAAUAAUAAAGAAAGAAGAAGAAACAAAGAGAAAAGACAGACGGUUCUUGCUUAACUGUCUUUCUGGGAAAGUGUUGACUUCUCCUUUGUCCCCAGGGAGCCACAGAGGCCGCAGCACCUCUGCUGUUCUGGCAGAAAGUCGCACACAAAUGAUGGCUUCUAGCCUGGCAGAGACAGUCUCCUCUCUUCUUUAUUCCCUGAUGAGCCUUUAAAAACAAUCUUCCCACUGUGAUUCUCCUGUGUCCCACACGCCACACCCCAUGUUUGUUCUUUCUGUGUCACGGUUUUCCGAUGUUUUACCGUGUUAGCAAAUCAGAAUGAGGGCUUAUUUUAAACUCUUCAGAGACUGAUGAAAAGGUCUCUAAUUCUUAGACUGUAGAUAAAGGUACUAAAAUAUUAUAAGAAUAACUUUGCCCAGGGUAAAUAUAUGUGGUGCAUCCUGUGCGUUAAACAGUUAGGACCAAUCAAAGCUCCAAGACCUAAGAUUUUACAAUGAGUAAAGUGAUACUUAUAGACAAUACUAUAGAUAUGUUAAGUACAGGGAAAACUUGAUUUUCCUUCAAAGAUAUUAUAAAGUAAUGAAUAGGAUAGAACCAACAUAUUUAAGAGGAAAAUGUAGGCUAGCUUAUUAGUCUAAAGAGCGUCUUCCUUCUGUCCACCCUCCCCAACCAGUUCAUCAAUAGAUUCCUCGAUUCUAUGAAAUAAGUUGUAAAUCUUUUCCAUUAUAAAACAUGAAACCAAGAGAGAAUGGGAGAUCCUUGGGAGGACCCAGAAGAUGCAUGAUUCUUAUUUCUAAACUGUUCAGGGUAACAGGAUGAACAGACGAGACCGUGACAGUCUAGAGCACAUGGCAAGAGGUCCAUGGAACUCCUGUGAGCUUGAAUGUGCUCUUCCACAAAUUCAGGUACUUGAGCGUAAUAGACCAGAUGAUAUUGUUAAGACAGGGGACCGUGAAGAGAUGAGGCCUCUUCUUCUCUGAAGGGAGCCAAAGGUUUUAAGCAUGUGGCUCAGAUUGUUGCUUGAGAAGGGGAAACAAAGAAGCAAGAAUAGUAAGUGUUCAGUCUUGAGAUGUGAACGUUAUCACCCAGCAGCAGCAGCAGCAGCAGCAGCAGCAGCAGGGCACCUGAUGUCAUAAAGGGGAGGCCAGAGCAUCAUUGCUCUGACCAGGCCAUUCCUCAGGGUCAUAUUGGUGCUGAUUCUGGAUAUCCAGCCGUUGACAGGAUGGAGACAUAGAUCAGGCGGAGAUCAGUCUGAAGCCAAAGAGGUUUGAGACCCAAGGAGAACAAGUGUCCAGCUGGAGUCUCAAAGGAAAAAACCAAUAUCCCAAGUUUCCCCUCCGCAAACCCUCUACCCCGUCUCCCCUCCCCCUUGCUUCUAUGAUGGUGCUCGCUCGCCCACCCGGACUCCUGCCUCACCACCCCUAGCAUUUCCCUACGCUGGGGCGUCGAGCCUUCGCUUGGGAGUUUUAAGUCACACGCAGAAAGAACAUCGUGGAGAUUUGUGGACAUACAUCAUGAAAAGAACAGGAUGGAAGCCAGUAGCACGGUUGGCGGCAAGUCGCAGGAGUCCUGGUGACCUGGAAUGGACACCAGGGUGCUCCUUAAGGACUUUUUGUCUCAGCUCUUCCGGAUGGAGAAACAUAGCAGAGGCAGAUUGCUGAAAGCAGUUCAUCUUGUCCUUCGGCAAAAAACAGUUUGUAUUAAUUCAAGGGCACCAGGCGCCAGAGCCGCCAUGUAAACGCUUGAAUAAACACUUCCCUUUCCAAGCAA